GCCAGGAUGGCGAAACCGGUAGACGCGUACGGUUCAGAACCGUAUGGGGUAACCCUUGGAGGUUCGAGUCCUCUUCCUGGCA
rnacentral:tRNA from 1 species